GUUGGUUGUCCCUCCUUCGAUGCCCCCUUCCUGUUAUUCGAACAUGAUUGGCCGCUCGCGGAAUUGAUGCUCGUUACGCUCGAGGCCGGGACCGUGCAUGGAUUCGGAACAACUCUUUGCUGCCCUCCUCGAUCCUGGAAGGAGCAUGUUCGUGUCCUGGCUGUAAGAACGGACAAUGCCGCAUUUCUCUUUGUUAGACGAUCUGACAGGCUCAUCCGGCCCAUCGCCAACCGUGAAGUGUACCACGUUGCUCUCCGGCGGUGUCUCCUUUCCUGUCUCGCUGCUCGACGAGUCUGGUGGAACUGAUGAUUCUUUCCACGUCAAGUUGUCCAUAGUACCUGUUGAUACACAAGAUAGAAAAAUUUCAAUUAUAUCAUCAUUUUAAUUUUAGAAUAACAACAGUGAGAGAAGAUUAUUUCGAGAAGAAGCUAGAAAAGAGUGUUAAUUUUCAAGGAAUAUUGAUUCAGCAACAGCUUUGUCCAUAUUAUCAGAAUAAAACGGUAUCAAAGAUCGAGUUUCAUGCAGAAUUCAUGAAGAGGAAGAAGAGAAACAAAACAACAGAAUAGAUAAUACUUUUUCCUUUUUUUUUUUUAUAUUCCACAGUAUCGAUAUAGUAUAAAUUUUUUUAUCUCAUCGCAAUCCUUUUUUUACUCUUUUAACAAACAUAUAUAUAUAUGUUAAUAUUCGUAAUAAUAAUAUUCAUAUGAUAAUAUUCGUAAAUCUUAUUUUAAAAAACGCAGAUAAUGCGAAAAGAAAAUUGAUGAUGAUUAACAAUAGUAAAAUUUACAGCAUUUACUUCUAAGAAAAAAAAUUCUUCCGAACUAUGCGUCAUGUGGAUUCUAAGAGAACUUUCUGCAUGCGAUUCAAAGUAUAUAUAUAUAUAUAUAUAUCGUAUACUUUAUCAUAGAGCGCAGUUUAGUCCCUUGUUUUGAUGAAAAAGAACGCGAGAAAUCGCUGAUAAAACUUUUUUUUUUACGGAUAAUCAAACAUUUUCAUUGAUUAAAUUUUGAUAAAAAUUUUUUUCCAUAUACCAUAUAU